GAUCAAUGUGUCUCCACCCAAGCCGGUGAGUGUUGCUCCCACCGAAGUCGAAAUUCGGAAUCCACCCUGGGUGGUGCUCAGUUCGUCUUCAGAAAUCUUUAGCAGCUUGGUCGCGAACAACCUUUGAUACAGUUCUGACUGCAUCAGUUUGCGGCAUUGUGCGGCAAGAUGAUUCGCAAGAUCGCGCGAAUAACUUGCGCAGAUAAAUUUAUGUGUCGGCUCAUGCCCAAGUUUAUAGGCAACCCAUGCGACCGAAAGCAGAA
rnacentral:misc_RNA from 1 species